rnacentral:lncRNA from 1 species
GAUGUAUGAGAUGAUCAUGUUGUAAUAGAAAUAUCGACUUGCACGUCGAUGGUACGGCAACCGGCAGGAGCCAUAGGGUUGUCUUUAUACUAACGUUUGUGCUUGCAGAUGCGUUCACUAUUUUGCUAGGAUGUAGCUUUAGUAGUAAUAGCAUGACUAGCACGACAACCCCGAUGGCAACACGUUGAUGGAUGAUCAUGGUGUGGCGCCGGUGACAAGAAGAUCGUGCUGGUGCUUUGGUGAUGAAGAUCAAGAAGCACGUGAUGAUGGCCAUAUCAUGUCACUUAUGAAUUGCAUGUGAUGUUAAUCCUUUUAUGCACCUUAUUUUGCUUAGAACGACGGUAGCAUUAUGAGGUGAUCUCUCACUAAAAUUUCAAGACGAAAUUGUGUUCUCCCCGACUGUGCACCGUUGCUACAGUUCGUCGUUUCGAGACACCACGUGAUGAUCGGGUGUGAUAGACUCAACGUUCACAUACAACGGG